rnacentral:rRNA from 1 species
GAUGAACGCUGGCGGCGUGCCUAAUACAUGCAAGUCGAGCGAACGGACGAGAAGCUUGCUUCUCUGAUGUUAGCGGCGGACGGGUGAGUAACACGUGGAUAACCUACCUAUAAGACUGGGAUAACUUCGGGAAACCGGAGCUAAUACCGGAUAAUAUUUUGAACCGCAUGGUUCAAAAGUGAAAGACGGUCUUGCUGUCACUUAUAGAUGGAUCCGCGCUGCAUUAGCUAGUUGGUAAGGUAACGGCUUACCAAGGCAACGAUGCAUAGCCGACCUGAGGGGGUGGUCGGCCACACUGGAACUGAGCCACGGUCCAGACUCCUACGGGAGGCAGCAGUAGGGAAUCUUCCGCAAUGGGCGAAAGCCUGACGGAGCAACGCCGCGUGAGUGAUGAAGGUCUUCGGAUCGUAAAACUCUGUUAUUAGGGAAGAACAUAUGUGUAAGUAACUGUGCACAUCUUGACGGUACCUAAUCAGAAAGCCACGGCUAACUACGUG